CCUACGGGAGGCAGCAGUGAGGAAUAUUGGUCAAUGGACGAGAGUCUGAACCAGCCAAGUAGCGUGAAGGAUGACUGCCCUAUGGGUUGUAAACUUCUUUUAUAUGGGAAUAAAAUGUUCCACGUGUGGGAUUUUGUAUGUACCAUAUGAAUAAGGAUCGGCUAACUCCGUGCCAGCAGCCGCGGUAAUACGGAGGAUCCGAGCGUUAUCCGGAUUUAUUGGGUUUAAAGGGAGCGUAGGUGGAUUGUUAAGUCAGUUGUGAAAGUUUGCGGCUCAACCGUAUAAUUGCAGUUGAAACUGGCAGUCUUGAGUACAGUAGAGGUGGGCGGAAUUCGUGGUGUAGCGGUGAAAUGCUUAGAUAUCACGAAGAACUCCGAUUGCGAAGGCAGUUCACUGGACUGCAACUGACACUGAGGCUCGAAAGUGUGGGUAUCAAACAGGAUUAGAUACCCGUGUAGUC
rnacentral:rRNA from 1 species